rnacentral:rRNA from 1 species
UACGAAGGGGGCUAGCGUUGCUCGGAAUUACUGGGCGUAAAGGGCGCGUAGGCGGACAGUUUAGUCAGAGGUGAAAGCCCAGGGCUCAACCUUGGAAUUGCCUUUGAUACUGGCUGUCUUGAGUACGGGAGAGGUGUGUGGAACUCCGAGUGUAGAGGUGAAAUUCGUAGAUAUUCGGAGGAACACCAGUGGCGAAGGCGGCUCACUGGCUCGGUACUGACGCUGAGGUGCGAAAGCGUGGGGAGCAAACAGG